GGGGGAUUAGCUCAGCUGGGAGAGCACCAGGCUGGCAGUCUGGGUGUCGAGGGUUCAAAUCCCUCAUCCUCCACCA
rnacentral:tRNA from 1 species